rnacentral:rRNA from 1 species
GCAGUCGCCACGGUAAUACGUAGGGUGCGAGCGUUAAUCGGAAUUACUGGGCGUAAAGCGUGCGCAGGCGGUUGUGUAAGACAGGUGUGAAAUCCCCGGGCUUAACCUGGGAACUGCGCUUGUGACUGCACAGCUAGAGUAUGGCAGAGGGGGGUGGAAUUCCACGUGUAGCAGUGAAAUGCGUAGAGAUGUGGAGGAACACCGAUGGCGAAGGCAGCCCCCUGGGCCAAUGCUGACACUCAUGCACGAAAGCGUGGGGAGCAAACAGGAUUAGAUACCCCCGUAGUCCCUGUCUCUUAUAC